rnacentral:rRNA from 1 species
UACAGAGGUCUCGAGCGUUAGGCGGAAUCACUGGGCUUAAAGCGUGUGUAGGCGGGUCGUUAAGUACCUUGUGAAAUCCCACGGCUCAACCGUGGAACUGCUUGGUAUACUGGCGAUCUUGUGCCACCUAGGGGCGAGCGGAACAGAUGGUGGAGCGGUGAAAUGCGUAGAUAUCAUCUGGAGCGCCAAUGGUGAAAAACAGCUCGCUGGGGGGUGUGCAGACGCUGAGACACGAAAGCCAGGGGAGCGAACGGG